GGCUCUUAAUUGUGAGUGUACUAAUAUAAUUAUUAUUUAGGCAAAGCUGGUCUAGAGUCAGCAAAAUUACACAAAACUGACCUGACUUUCAAAUUUGUUUUCAUUAUUUUAUUUUGCAGGAUAACAAAGCCAUUGACCUUUGCUGAUUGUGUUGGGGACGAGCUUCCUUUAGGAUGGGAAACUGUAUAUGAUAAACAAAUUGGAAUUUAUUAUAUGGACCACAUAAAUAAGCUUACCCAGAUUGAGGAUCCAAGAGAACAGUGGAGGCGAGAGCAGGAGCGGAUGUUGAAGGAGUAUUUAAUUGUAGCCCAGGAGGCUCUCAAUGCCAAGAAAGAAAUCUACCAGAUCAAGCAGCAGCGGUUGGAGCUGGCUCAGGAGGAGUACCAGCAACUGCACACACUAUGUGAGGAUGACAGCCGCUCAUAUGCCAGCUCCUUCUCUGGAUAUUCAGCAAAUACAAAGUAUGACCCCCACCAAAUUAAAGCAGAAAUAGCAAGUCGUCGGGAUAGGCUUUCCAGAUUAAAACGGGAGCUGGCCCAGAUGAAGCAGGAGCUACAGUACAAAGAAAAGGGCGUGGAGACCCUGCAAGAGUGAGUUGCCUGUGUGUGUGAUGGAAACAUUUUCCUCUUGUCCUGACCCACUUGGUACCUGGACCUUCACCCAAAAGCUUCAUAACCUUCGUGUUUGUGCCUUCAUCAAUGCUCGUUAUUUGCCAGUCCUAAGCAUCAGAGCCUCUUUUCCUUGAAGAUACCUUUGUUCUUUUAAGUGGAAAUACCCGGGAAAUAAGACCUUUAAUUUUUAUAUUUAUGUAUUUCUCUCUAUAACUGCACUGCCUAAGACACAUAUGACCAUUUACCUUUAAAUUCAGGGU
rnacentral:lncRNA from 1 species